rnacentral:rRNA from 1 species
GACCUGCGGAAGGAUCAUUACUGAAUUGUCAAACGGGUUGUUGCUGGCCCUCAUAGGGGGCAUGUGCACGCUCUGUUUACACAUCCACUCACACCUGUGCACCCUCUGUAGUUCUAUGGUCUGGGGGACCCUGUCUUCCUUCUGUGGUUCUACKUCUUUACACACACACUGUAAUAAAGUUUUAUGGAAUGUACAUCGCGUCUAACGCAAUACAAUACAACUUUCAGCAACGGAUCUCUUGGCUCUCGCAUCGAUGAAGAACGCAGCGAAAUGCGAUAAGUAAUGUGAAUUGCAGAAUUCAGUGAAUCAUCGAAUCUUUGAACGCACCUUGCGCCCCUUGGCUAUUCCGAGGGGCAUGCCUGUUUGAGUAUCAUGAACACCUCAACUCUCAUGGUUUGCCAUGAUGAGUUGGACUCUGGGGGUUUUGCUGGCCUGUGGUCGGCUCCUCUCAAAUUAAUCAGCCUCCCAGUGUUUGGUGGCAUCACGGGUGUGAUAAAUAUCUACGCUCGCUGUUGUCUGCCAGGUAACCUUUGGUCACAAAGGUUUGCUGGAGCUCACAGAUGUCUCUCCUCAGCGAGGACAGCUUUUUUAACGUUCGAUCUCAAAUCAGGUAG